rnacentral:tRNA from 1 species
GCUGGUGUAGCUCAGUGGUAGAGCACCUCCUUGGUAAGGAGGAGGUCAUGGGUUCAAUCCCCAUCACCAGCUCCA